UUAAUAUUAGUUAUGAAAUAUAUUUCAAGAAAUUUUAUAUCUAGUUUUUUAAGAGUAAAAGUUUAAUAAAAUAAUUUUUAUAAAAAUUAAUAUGGUUUAGCUUAUUAAUUUUAUAUACUGAUAGAAUUUUUUAACCUUAGUAAAUUUGAUAGUGUUUAUUUUAUAAAUUUAUAAUGGAGGGUAAUAUGAAUAGAAAUUUUUAUUUGUUAUUUUUUUAUUAAAAAAUUUAUUUAAAUUUUAGAGUUUUAUUUAUAAUGAAAAAAUUAGUAAAAAUUUAUUUAUAUUAAAAAAUAAUUAAUAAUUUAUAAUUGUUAUAAUUAUUAUAAAAAAUGAAUUCGGCAAAAAGUAUUAUUUGACUGUUUAGCAAAAACAUUGUUUCAUGAAGAAUAUAUGAAAUAAUGUCUGUCCACUGAUAUAUUUGAAGGACUGCAGUAUAUUGACUGUAUAAAAGUAGCAUAAUCAUUAGCUUUUUAAUUUGGGGUUGGUAUGAAGGCGAAACGGAUAAGUUCUUUAUUUUUUAUAAGUGUUUUAAGUUUAUUUUUAAGUGAAAAAUCUUAAUUGGAUGAGAGGGACAAGAAGACCCUAAUAAGUUUUAUUUUUCUUUUAUUUAUGUUAUAGGAAAAUUUAAUUAGAUAAUAUUAAAUUAGAAAUUUGGUUGGGGCGAUUAGUUAUAAAACAUAAUUUAUUUAUAAUUUUU
rnacentral:rRNA from 1 species